rnacentral:lncRNA from 1 species
UAAAAUAUUUAUAAAUAUUUACUUCAUGAAAUUCAUACACAUUUAAGUGUCUAUUUUGUCCUUUGAGACAUCACUAAUUUUUCAAGAGAAUUGGAUAGCUUGGUUACUAAAAAGCGUCUAUAUGUAUCACAAAUAUUUCAGCACAAGGGAGAACUAAGCCAUCCCAGAUACAUAUACAUGUCAAAAUGGAAGUAUCCGAGUGCAUGAGCAACUUAAGGACCGAAAUAGUAUUUGAGUACAUGAGAACGUAACACAAGAGACAUAUACAUAGAUCAUUUUUAGUACAUGGCCGGCAGGACCAAGUGUUAAGGACUGAAAUUAUCACUGCCCAACAAGCAUCUUGAUAGUACAUGAGAGAAAGAUCUAUCAGUUUGCCUCCUGUUUUAGUGCUUCCUGGUAAUCGAGCUUCAUCUGCUGUCAGAGAUGACAACCUCCAUGGACUCUUAUACGUCUAUCAGUUCAAUCUACCUAGCUAAGAACACGAAAUAAAUAGGUUUCAGUUAGAAACAGCUACGAAAUAGUAGGAGAUGUCUAACAGAGACAGUACAAAUAUUUGUUGCCGCAUAUUCAUUAUUCCAUUACAGAUUAUGUUACAAAAUUAACAACAUUGAAAUUCAUUUUUGGCGAGAGAUCAGCAUAACACGCAUAUGUUCUAAUUCAAAAAGAAUUCUGACAACUAACAAACACUCAUGUUUAUACCACUGAAUGGACCUUAGCUGCUUGCAUAAAAACUAGCCCAUAAAAGUUUCAUAGUGGUGAAGGUUAGAGAGUGUUACAAUUAUAAAUUUGACUUUACCCAUAUCAUAAGGACUUGGACAUGGUUACAAACAUAUUGGGCAUGCACAAAGUAAAUCUUGGUACCUUCAGAAAAUAGGAACAUAGGCUCCAGUUUCACGCGAGGUUAAAGCUUGCACGAGCAUGCAUAGACCUAUGAUCAACAUAUUACAAUUUCAAGGAUUAGCUAAAAGCAUAAAUGAGAACGACAAUAGAGUAUAUUCAUCACUAAUGGCAUGUUUGUGCGAACUGUAAUGCUAAUUGAUGAUUCACAAUAAUUAGGCAUAGCCAUUAACUAACAUAUUAUAGGAAAAUUAAAAAAUAUUAUAGGCAUAUUCUUGAGCGAUCCACAGUCUAGAACCGUAGCAAUACACCAUCAAAUCUUCCAAACUAGAGUACCAAACACCUAUAACAGUACCAAUACACCAUCAAAUUGAAGUUAUUAAAAUACAUCAUUCACUGAGAAAAUUCGACAUGAACAAAAGAAUUGAACUAGAGAGAGGGAAAGGGAGAGGAGGCGACGAACCUAGAGCUAUCAGACCUUCAGAAGGGAGGCUGCGACGAGAACAAUGUGGGGCGGAGGUUGGCGGCUGACGAACUCCGAUCUGGUCCGCCUCAAACUGGGUCGCCAGCCACACAACGGCAAGGAACCAUUGAGAGAUCCGGGGGAGGGAGUAUUCGACUAGCUUCGAGAAGGGGAUCUGGGCCGCCGCCGCCGCCGUCGCCGCCCUCUGGAAAAAUCUGUUCAUGCGCUGCCUCAGGCCACGGGAUUUGGGUACGAACGAGAAG